rnacentral:rRNA from 1 species
GCAUGCUUUACACAUGCAAGUCGAACGGGGUGGGGGGCAACUCCCACUCAGUGGCGAACGGGUGAGUAAUGCAUCGGAACGUAUCCCGUAGUGGGGGACAACGCCGCGAAAGCGGCGCUAAUACCGCAUAUGCUCUACGGAGGAAAGUGGGGGACCUGAAAGGGCCUCACGCUAUGGGAGCGGCCGAUGUCCGAUUAGCUAGUUUGUGGGGUAAUGGCCCACCAAGGCGACGAUCGGUAGCUGGUCUGAGAGGAUGAUCAGCCACACUGGGACUGAGACACGGCCCAGACUCCUACGGGAGGCAGCAGUGGGGAAUUUUGGACAAUGGGGGCAACCCUGAUCCAGCCAUGCCGCGUGCGGGAAGAAGGCCUUCGGGUUGUAAACCGCUUUUAGUCGGGAAGAAAAGGCACGUCCUAAUACGGCGUGUUCUUGACGGUACCGGCGGAAUAAGCACCGGCUAACUACGUGCCAGCAGCCGCGGUAAUACGUAGGGUGCGAGCGUUAAUCGGAAUUACUGGGCGUAAAGCGUGCGCAGGCGGUUCGUCAAGUCUGAUGUGAAAGCCCCGGGCUCAACCUGGGAACUGCAUUGGUGACUGGCAGGCUAGAGUAUGGCAGAGGGGGGUAGAAUUCCACGUGUAGCAGUGAAAUGCGUAGAGAUGUGGAGGAAUACCGAUGGCGAAGGCAGCCCCCUGGGCCAAUACUGACGCUCAUGCACGAAAGCGUGGGGAGCAAACAGGAUUAG